rnacentral:misc_RNA from 1 species
GAUGAAGAACGUAGCGAAAUGCGAUACGUAGUGUGAAUUGCAGAAUUCAGUGAAUCAUCGAAUCUUUGAACGCACAUUGCACCUCUCGGUAUUCCGGGAGGUAUGCCUGUUCGAGCGUCAUUUGUACCCUCAAGCUCUGCUUGGUGUUGGGUGUUUGUUCCGCCUCUGUGUGUGAACUCGCCUCAAAACAAUUGGCAGCCGGGGUACUUGUUUCGGAGCGCAGCACAUUUUGCGAUCCAGAUCAACGUACAGCGGCAUCCAAGAAGCCUUAUUUAACGCUCUUGACCUCGGAUCAGGUAGGGAUACCCGCUGAACUUAAGCAUAUCAAUAAGCGGAGGA